rnacentral:misc_RNA from 1 species
UUCUGCACAAUCCACGAAUAAGAGUGAAUAUUUUCAGACACACCCUUCUUAUUCUAUCGAUUUCUUAAAUAUAGUAAUACGGAGAAAUUUAUACCGAAUCCAAAACAAAUUAAGUUUUAUAUCCGUUUAGUUUUAGACAAAAAGAUUUUUUAGAUAUUUUUUGAUUGCGUAUUAUUGUUUACUAAUAAGCAUUUCAAGCCGAAAGCUCUUCAAAAUCGUGCUUAUAAAUUAGUGAAUGGCAAGUUACAGAAGCGUGGCUGGAGAUGAAAUUUCCUCAGCCUCUCUUAUUACAAAUUUAGUACCUAUUCAUUCAAAUAAAUCCAAAGCUGCUGGAUCCGAAUCUUGGUGUUGUGACUUUUCAUCGGAUGAGUCAUACUUUGCUUGGUCUUCUGGAAAUUGUGUUGUUACUAUCAUUCCUUGGAGUUUUUGUAAAGCAACAUUGUUUAAGCACAAAGAAGUUAAUGUACCUUUCAAGCCAGGAAUUGGGAUUCUCGUUGAUAGCAAACAUGAAGUAGAAGAUUGCUUUGGCUGCAACACUAUUUCUGUGUUUACUGGUCACCUCAUUCGCUCUGUGGCAUUUGGUUCUUCUUCCUUAAAUUAUGGUGAUAAGCCAUGUUCUCCUUUCUGGUCCCGUCUUUGUUCUUCCAAAGAUUUGGUUCUGGCAACUGGCCAUAUUAAUGGACGCAUCAGAAUAUGGGAUGUCUUGACAGGCAAACUUAUUCUUCAACUUAUGGACCAUAGUGAUAUGGUGUCUCACAUGACAUUCAAUCCACUUGGUAAUCUUGUUUUAAUUUCCUCAUCUUAUGAUGGUACACUCAAAGUAUGGGAUUUGCAUAAUGACGGAAAUAUGUUUCGAACACUUAAAAUGAACAACAGACCUGUUUAUUCCUGUUGCUGGUCACAUGAUGGAAAAACAGUUGUGUCUGUUGGCAUGUGUAAAUUGGUGUAUGUUUGGGACAUGAAGAGCUUAAAAGUGAAAUUCAUGCUUGAGGGUCAUCAUCAUGAUGUUGUUUCCUGUGCCUUUUCUCCAGAUGACUGUCUCAUAGCUUCCGCUUCCUGGGAUACCCGCGUCAUCCUCUGGGAUUCAUUUAAUGGACAAGUGCUCAAAUGUUUUGGCCAUUUACAACCUUCACCUCGUCUCAUUUUCGCUUGUGGAUACAAUGGAACAUGGAUUCGUGAUGUAUCAUUUUCUUCUGAUGGAGCUCAUAUUGCAACUGUAGCAGAUGAUGGAUUCUUGAGGUUUUGGGAUAUCACUAAAGAGGAAACUCCUGAAGCUAUGGCUCCCAUUGAAAAUUCACUAUGCUGUACAUACUCUCCAUCAGGACGUAUCCUUGCCGUAGGUGGAUGAUCGGGGGUGAGAAUCCCAUUGGUAGCGGUAGCCUGAUGCAUUCAGCGCUUCAGCAGCGAAGGUGCUGAAGCCCACUGGCUCCUUUAUUUCCAAAUACUGGGGGUUUUAUGGCCUGCUUUGGAUUGGUGCAGUUACGAUGAGUGUCCUCAUAAUAAUUAGUUCACAAAGUCGAAGUGGUCCAGUAUCAUUUUGGAAAGCUCCACUGUGUGUAAAGUCUUUAAAGUAUUUGUCUCGAAUAGCUGUCCGCAAAUCUGUGGGUGCAGAAAGCGUACCUGAACUCUGCAUUCCUAAAUCUCUAGUCGAGUAUUUGUUGUACAAGGAAUGGGAGUGAGUUUUAC